ensembl:snRNA U1 U1 spliceosomal RNA
AUACCUACCUGGCAGAGGAGAGACCGUGAUCACAAAGGUGGUUUCCCCAGGGCAAGGAUCAUCCAUUAUGCCCAGGAUAUGCUGACCACUAGAAUUUCCCCACAGGUGGGGAACUUUAUUGCAUAAUUUGUGCUAGAGGGGAACUGUGUGUGUUCUUCCCCCUG